AUCCUUGCGCUCAAGGUCGUCCAGUGGGCGACGGCCGCGUGACGUGCACGAUCAAGGACGCAAAAAUGAAAUGAUAGAAAAUGGAAAAAACACAUCACGUUUCUUCUUCUUCUUCUUCUUCUUCUUCUUCUUCUUCUUCUUCUUCUCUUCAAAGCAUGUAGCAUAGCAUGUCAUGUACAGUAGUACUAUUUGACAAAGAUUUUUUUUUUGAUCUUUCGGGGAGUUCUUUUUCGUUUUCUUUUCCCCCUUCUCUACAGAUCUUUGUUUUUCGGUUUGGUCGACCAGCCACGAUUGAUUCGUCGGGGUGUUUUUCUUUUCUUUUCUUUUCUUUUUCAAAAAGGGUGUAUGUUUCCCCCCCCCGGCAAAACAAAAAAAAAAGGAACGGCACAAAAACCGGAACCAAAAUGGAGGCUGGGCAUGUUUUUCUAUUCUUUCUUUAUCUUUUCUUUCCUCAUUUUUUUCUUCUUUCUUUUUAAUACGCUUUAGGGGGCCCAUGAAAAGAGAUAGUUGUGGAGGGUUUUGGAGGGGGUCGGGUCGGGAUAUCGAACGCUCUAUCUAUCGGUUCUAUCCAUCUAUCAGCAUUUCCUGGAAAUCGAAGGAAUAAUAAAUCUGUCAGUUAGCUAGCUUACCUUGCCCAUGCCUAUGUCUGGGGAAAUGUGUUUUCCAAAAGAAAAAAAAAAUAAAUAACUUAUAUCCGUGGGGUUAUUGUAUUGAAACUUACUGCUUCUGGUCCGUCCGCGCCAUUCCUGUUUAUUUAGGUACAACAUCAACAUGCACAGCAUAUACGCGCCAUCGCCCCUUCCUCUAAUCAUGUCCACGUCUACACUCCUGCUUUGCACC
rnacentral:sRNA from 1 species